UACAGAGGUCCCAAGCGUUGUUCGGAUUCACUGGGCGUAAAGGGUGCGUAGGUGGCGAAGUAAGUCGGAUGUGAAAUCUCCGAGCUCAACUCGGAAAUGGCAUUGGAAACUACUUUGCUCGAGGGUCGGAGGGGGGACUGGAAUUCUCGGUGUAGCAGUGAAAUGCGUAGAUAUCUGGAGGAACACCGGUGGCGAAGGCGGCGUUCUGGACUGCAACUGACACUGAUGAACGAAAGCCAGGGGAGCAAACGGG
rnacentral:rRNA from 1 species